UACGUAGGGUGCGAGCGUUAAUCGGAAUUACUGGGCGUAAAGCGUGCGCAGGCGGCGCGUUAAGACAGGUGUGGAAGCCCCGAGCUUAACUUGGGAAUUGCGCUUGUGACUGGCGUGCUGGAGUGUGGCAGAGGGAGGUGGAAUUCCACGUGUAGCAGUGAAAUGCGUAGAGAUGUGGAGGAACACCGAUGGCGAAGGCAGCCUCCUGGGCCAGCACUGACGCUCGAUGCACGAAAGCGUGGGGAGCAAACAGG
rnacentral:rRNA from 1 species